UCACACUUAACUUUCGCCACGAAAAUGCGAUAGGAAUUCUGUAUAUAUAUGGCAGCGAUGCCUGUGCUCUUGUAAUAGAUUGAGCCAGUACCUAAGAACCUGCUCUACUAAAACUUUGUCAAAACGAGAGCGUGCAUUUUCUAAAUUCAAAUUUACAGCCCCCAUUUUGAGUUCAAUAUAUUCCAAUGCCUCCCUUCUUAUGGCCCUUUCGGGAAAAGGAGAUUCCCCCAAAAUUUGGAUUAAGCGAUCAUCUGGUUCGCUGAGAAGGAGAUUAAAAAGCUGGUCCUGUAAAUUAGCUUUCAAUUCGAGGACUGUAAUGUCGAAGAUUUCAUUGGAUAGAGCACUGUGAUAGUUCCGAAUGUUGAUGGCUUCGUUCAGAUUCAGAUUGUCUCUCACUAACGUUGCGUAUUCACCGUGGUUAAGUUGAGGAGGCAACCGAUCGAUUAAUCGGUUUUCGAGGUUUCGUAUCCGCGAGAACAGCUCUGCUUCCACGUGCUCGUUUUGCGCGCGAAAGUUGUCCAAGACUUGUGCCGCGGGUACUUCCCCCUCCUGUAAAACAGCAGUGAUUAAUUUUUCUAUUGAAAUAGACUUCUACUAAUUUAAAAAGGGUUUCACUUCUUCUCCAUAUAGAUAGAUGGCAUCGGUAGAGCUAAAUACAUAACUUUAAGAUAUUGUUAUUCUGCCCGAAAAUAGUGAGAAUUUAUUUUCUGAGUAUAAAUUCUAUUUUUCGAGUAUAAAUUCUAUUUUCUGAAAUAAUAAUACUAUCGAUUUCUAUUAAAGUAAAUAAUAUAUGAUUCUAUGUUUGAUUCAAGUUCGUUCGAGCCCAGAUUCGAAGCAGUUUGUGGUACGAGAAUAGCGGGAAAGGUCGUUCUAUUGAAAAAUGAGAACAAUAAAGAUCCGUCUAGUCGAAAAUACAAGUGCAAUUUCGGUAAAAGGUUUAUUGCUAUAAAUAUCACAAACCAGCUCGAUUUUCAAAAUUUUAAUUUUUCACUAUGCAAGAAAACCGUUUUCAAACCGGAUUUUUUUUCCAGCAGUCCAAUAGCAUGAUGUGGUAGAUCAUUUUGAAGAAGGUUGACAUCGUACAAUACGUGAAGGAUGUACACCAUAGGACCCAUUCUAUUAUGCCUUCGGUCAGUAUGAGAUUGUUAUGCCUAGGUGAGCCUAUUUGCCUUGAGGGUGUGUACACAAUUGAUAAGUGUUCACACCUAAAAAGAGGGUGUCUGUCUCAUCUUAAAAGAGCGAAAGGGUCUUUCAAUCGGAUGGUCAUGUACACAGAAAGUUGGUACCCCUCUAGGUAAGAUGGAUGGUCGAGUGAGGCACUUUCUCAGGUGAAGUCAAAGGGAAAGUCAACGAAGUCUGCCUUGCGGACACAUGUACAAGGUGAGAAGAGGUAUAACAAAUUUAAAUUGAUUAAAUAAUUUAUUUAAAUUUGAUUUAAUUUUAUUUCAAAAUUAAGAAAACUAGUUUAUUUAACUUUGAUUUAAUUUUAUUUCAAAAUUAAGAAAACUAACUUUUAUCAAUUUUAAUACUCAAACUUAAAGGAUACAAAUAACUUAAUCUAAAAUCACCAAAUUCGCCAUAAUUUGUGUACUAAAUAAAUUUGAAUGACUAAAUUAAAAAUUACUAUAUCUCGAAAUGACCUGACCCUCAAAUUUAAAAUGACCUGAAUCUGAAAUUAACUGAAACUAAAGUGAAUUGAAAUCAAAAUUGUCUUCAUCAAAAUAACUAAAAAUUUUAAAACGUAAAUUGACUCGGUCCAAAUUGACUUGACCCAAAACCAACCCAACUCGCCGUAGAAUUUAGUUUUAAUAUGAAUUCAAAAAAAUUAAAAUAAAUAAAAUUGUGUACAAUGUUGUUAAGGAUUCAAAAGCCAUGGAACUUGUGUUCAUGCUUUGGGUCCCUUUAUUAUUUUCUUUAACGUUAUAAGUGUAAUUAUAUUAAUUAAAAACUAUAAAAAUAAUAUAUUUUAGUAUACUUUUAAAUAAAACCUAUAUGCAAUUAGAUUUAAUUUACAUACAACAAGACUCGAAUCUAAUCAAUAAAAGCUUUAAAGCCUCAACUCAACCGAUGCCUUAAUUGGCUCCUCUUAGUUUUGUAGUUUUUUCAGUUUUUUAUUUAUUUUUUAUCCCACGGCUUUGAAACUUCGAUGAACAAACAUUACAAUAGCCACCCAUGAUGUAUUUGGACCGAUCGAUAUGGACAGAAUAACCAGACAUUAAAAUGUGAAUGCUUUUCUCCAUAGUCUAUAUUAUUCAUCAUGUGACUGUUAGCAUUGUUGUCUGAUAACAGUCAAUCCCCUUGAAACAGACCCAAGCCAAGAAGGAACAAAACUAACCCAAAUCACCCUGCAAGGAGAAAAGAAAAAACUAUGUGGUCCAAAUCACUGUUGAAAAUCAAACCUUGAGCCAUUCUCUUUGCAAUUUAACCAUGUGGGAUGUUUGUUUCUGCCUUGUUUCAGACAUCAAUCUUGAAGCUUUCAAGUUAUGCAUCCUAAGACUGC
rnacentral:lncRNA from 1 species